GAUGAAGAACGUAGUGAAAUGCGAUACGUAAUGUGAAUUGCAGAAUUCAGUGAAUCAUCGAAUCUUUGAACGCACAUUGCGCUCUCUGGUAUUCCGGAGAGCAUGCUUGUUUGAGUAUCAGUAAACACCUCAACUCCUUUAUUGUAGUUGGACUUGAGCUAUCCCAACAGGACUUUUUGUUCCUGGCGGGAGGCUUGAAAUGCAGGUGCAGCUGGACUUUCUUCUGAGCUAUAAGCAUAUUUAUUUAAUCCCUUAACACGGAUUAUUACUUUUUUGCUGCAGCUAACAUAAAGGUUGAAUUUCCAUUGAGCUGACUGAUGCAGGAAUUUGGCAAGGAAUUUUUUUAAUGACUUGUUAAACUCGAUCUCAAAUCAAGUAAGACUACCCGCUGAACUUAAGCAUAUCAAUAAGCGGAGA
rnacentral:misc_RNA from 1 species